AUUUCCCUGAUGACAUAUGUGGAGCAUCUUUUUGUGUACUUGUUUGCCAUCUGUGUAUUUUCCUUGGUGGGUGUCAAAGUCUUUGGUCCAUUUUUUAAUUUGGUCAUUUGUUUCCUUAUUGUUGCAUUUGUGAAUUCUUUUUAUAUUUUGGAUAACAAUCCUUUAUCAGAUGUGUCUUUUGCAAAUAUUUUCUCUUUGUGGCUUGUUUUGUCAUUCUUAUUUUUUUGUAAAAUUAUUGUAAUAGAGAUGGGGUCUCAUUAUGUUGCACAGGCUGGUCCUGAACUCCUGGCCUCAAAUAAUCCUCUCACUGUGGCCUCCCAAAGUACUAGGAUUACAGGCGUGAGCCACUAUGCCUGGCUUAUUCUGUUGAUAGUGUCUUUCACCGAGCAGAAGUUUUAAAUUUUGAAGAAGUCCAAUUUAGCAAUUAGUUGUUUCAUGGAUCAUGACUUUGGUGUUGUUUCUAAAGAGUCAUUGUCAUACCCGAGGUCAUGUAGGUUUUCUCCUAUAUUAUCUUCUGGGAGUUUUAUAGUUUUGCAUUUUACAUUGAGGUCUAUGAUCCCUAUUGAGUUAAUUUUUGGUAGGAGUGUAAAGUCUGUAUCUAGAUUAAUUUUUUUGCAUGUGGAUGUUCAGUUGUUCUAGCACCACCUAAAGAAGAUUUUCACAGUUCCACCCCCACUAAACCUCAGACCUCAGGGACGACUUUUCCAAAACAUUCUUUCUUAUGCCUCUCCCAUCUCACUGAAUUGGUCUCUUGGCAAAUUGCAAACUCUUUAGAGCACUGUAUCAGGAGCAGGGCCAGACCAGCUCAGCAUGGCAGAAAGCCUGAAAUUAUUAGCACAACAUCCCCAUGUGAGAGGUAGUAGUUUGUUGCCUGUAUUCCGCAAAGUUGAGAACAGAGAUUAAGGGACUUACUCAGGAUCAGAAAAGUCUUCUAUUUCAAACCUAAGAUUAGUCUGUCUGAUUAACUAAUUGCAAUCCAUCUGUCACGUAGAAGAGAGUAGAGCUUUUCAGGAGGAGACCAUGUGGCUGGCUGCUUCACUGAUUGGCAAUUUGUUGAUACAGACACCACAGAUCUGAUCCUCAGCUUUACAGAUCCAAUAACUACUGGGCCCUGUGCUCAAGGAGAUUAAACUAGAAAGGAUCAAUUCAUCAUAGCCAAACUUAUAAGAGACUGAUGUGUAAAUCAGUUUGUCAGAUGAUUUAUAAUAGGAAGUAUUUCUCACACGUGAGAACCCGUAAACUCUUGAAUAUGUCCCAAUUUGAGAAACACUGCAUUCAAACUUCCAUUAGGAGACUUUAGUUUAGGUCACUUGAUCAAAACAGUUAUGAAUGAAAAUGCAGCAUGGGCAUUGAUAUUAUGUGGCAGUACUCUGUAAAAAGGUGGCAACACUUGUGUUAAAAAUUUUAUAUUAUCACGGUCGGGCGCGGUGGCUCAAGCCUGUAAUCCUAGCACUUUGGGAGGCCGAGACGGGCGGAUCACAAGGUCAGCAGAUCGAGACCAUCCUGGUUAACACGGUGAAACCCUGUCUCUACUAAAAAUACAAAAAACUAGCCGGGCGAGGUGGCAGGCAUCUGUAGUCCCAGCUACUCGGGAGGCUGAGCCAGGAGAAUGGCGUAAACCCGGGAGGCGGAGCUUGCAGUGAGCUGAGAUCUGGCCACUGCACUCCAGCCUGGGCAACAGAGCUAGACUCCGUCUCAAAAAAAAAAAAAAAAAAA
rnacentral:lncRNA from 1 species